UGACACUUUUUCAUCUUUCUCAUUCUUUCUUCCCAGAUAUGAAGCUUUGUCAGUACAGGACGACACUUGGUACGCGGAAGGAUCAACAGACCCCAACCACCCCCAAUUUUAUAGACGGGUUAAAGCCACCCAACAAACUUGGCGAGCGUUAUUCUCCCCCUUCUUUUCUCAAAACAUCAGGGUUGUUUUGAUCUCUUCCUAUUGUGGCAUACCUGAACAGGAUGCUGUCCUGGUAGGAGGGCUCCUUGGGCAUUGGGCGCCACUCAAUGCCACCGCCUGGAUUCCCAACGAAUCAACACACCCAUCUAUGAAACCAGAUUCCUGAGAUAACAUUCGAGGCGGGAUGUGGGGAAUUCUCCAAGGAACAAUCCCACACUCCGGCACGACCCUGUGCUUGGAUUGUUCUUCCUUGCAGGCUACAAGCGGACAGCGCAUCCGGCAUGACCAACAUGAUCCCUGUAGUACUAUACCAUGCUGGGGUCUCUUGGAACGGAGGUGGUGUUAAUCCGGUAUUUUCAUGGCCGAUCCGUUACCAUAUGAAUUAGGCCUGGAUCUGUAUUCGCUUUGGCGGCAAAAAAACGGGAGAGGAUGGUGUGAUAUUGGAGGAGUUUCGGGUGAGGGACUAUAAAGGAUGACCCUUUGACAAGAAUUUGACACCCCCAAACCCUGAAUAGCAUACUAUGCAGGUUACCAAGGAACUUUAUCAAUGCGCAGUGAGAUCAAUCACCAUAUAGUAUUUUGUUUCCUAGGUGCAAAUGACGGGGAAAAACGGAGGCGAGCAGCCGAAACUCCAUAAAAUUAAAAGGAACAAAGACUCUUUGCCCGGAGUUUGCCCCAGAAGCCCGAAGUGAACGAAAGACAAGGUUGGGAGAAGCCCGGGAUAGAGACAUGGGGUUGUCGGGAGAAAGGGGCAACCUGGCCAACCACCUGUGGCAAUAAAUGUUGCCGUGGGUAGGCGUCUCAUAUCUUCCUUUCCUGGUAGCAUUUGCCUUACUUUCCCCAUUUCCCCGCCUUCGUCAACAUCUCAGAUAUUUCUUACCAGAGCUCAUGUAAAUCACUAAAAUACUCUUGUAAGGAGCAGGAUGAAAUAAUACUCUCAACUCGCCUCAGAAGUGGAUCGAUGGAUCCUCUUGAAGAUCUCUCUCUCUCUCCCUCCACGCUUCUGAUUGGAUCAGAUCCCCUUGGCCGGUAGAUUCCUUGCCUUCCUACCCUAACCCCCUGGAUAGAGGACUAACCAGAUGGACACUCUGGGCCCAUGCAUUGGAUUCUGCAGACUGAUGGAACAUUCGUUUGGGACCUUCCUAAGUGCGUUGAGCAGGGUAAUUAAAAUGAACCUUUGAUUGUAUGGCACCGGAAAUAAGACAAGACUAAGUCAGAAACCAGUAUGGUGGUGUAGGAGUUGUUGAAUUUAGCCUCCUUCGUUUCCCGCAGGACUUUCAUCUCUCUGUUGGAUGGCCAGGAUGUUGGACACACAACAACUAAUGAGUUCCAAUCGAUGGUAACCGAGAUCCACAAGGGGGCUUCUCCAAGAUCUAAAACAAGUUGUUCUCCCGAAUACAGGGGAUAUAAAACUGAAAACAUGUAAAAGGUAAUGAUUGAUCCCAAAUCGGUAUUGAAAUGUGGCCGUCCUCAGUAUCUAUGCCGUAGCAAAUACAAAUCACGGGAAAUAUGUUUUAAUAGCAUAUAUAUUCAAAGAGUCGGACUAAAU
rnacentral:sRNA from 1 species